rnacentral:rRNA from 1 species
AUUGAACGCUAGCGGGAUGCUUUACACAUGCAAGUCGAACGGCAGCGCGGACUUCGGUCUGGCGGCGAGUGGCGAACGGGUGAGUAAUGUAUCGGAACGUGCCCAGUAGCGGGGGAUAACUACGCGAAAGCGUAGCUAAUACCGCAUACGCCCUACGGGGGAAAGCAGGGGAUCGUAAGACCUUGCACUAUUGGAGCGGCCGAUAUCGGAUUAGCUAGUUGGUGAGGUAACGGCUCACCAAGGCGACGAUCCGUAGCUGGUUUGAGAGGACGACCAGCCACACUGGGACUGAGACACGGCCCAGACUCCUACGGGAGGCAGCAGUGGGGAAUUUUGGACAAUGGGGGCAACCCUGAUCCAGCCAUCCCGCGUGUGUGAUGAAGGCCUUCGGGUUGUAAAGCACUUUUGGCAGGAAAGAAACGUCGCGGGCUAAUACCCCGUGGAACUGACGGUACCUGCAGAAUAAGCACCGGCUAACUACGUG